rnacentral:rRNA from 1 species
CCUACGUGUGGCAGCAGUAGGGAAUUUUCGGCAAUGGGGGGAACCCUGACCGAGCAACGCCGCGUGAGCGAAGAAGUAUUUCGGUAUGUAAAGCUCUAUCAGCAGGGAAGAAAAUGACGGUACCUGAGUAAGAAGCUCCGGCUAAAUACGUGCCAGCAGCCGCGGUAAUACGUAUGGAGCAAGCGUUAUCCGGAUUUACUGGGGGUAAAGGGAGCGUAGGCGGCCUGCCAAGUCUGAUGUGAAAUACCGGGGCUCAACCCCGGGGCUGCAUUGGAAACUGGCAGGCUGGAGUGCCGGAGAGGCAGGCGGAAUUCCUAGUGUAGCGGUGAAAUGCGUAGAUAUUAGGAGGAACACCAGUGGCGAAGGCGGCCUGCUGGACGGUGACUGACGCUGAGGCUCGAAAGCGGGGGGAGCAAACAGGAUUAGAUACCCGUGUAGUC